CUCCCUGCUCAGUGCAGAGCCCAACCUGUGGCUUGGUCUCAUAACUCUGAGAUCAUGACCUGAGCUGAAAUCAAGAGUUGGACACCCAACAGACUAAACCAUCCAGGCACCCCCAUUACAACAGAGUCUUAACUGACAGUGGGAGAUGUUUUAUUCCAUUCCUAGGAUACCCCAUUAUGGUGCAAUGAGAUCGUACCUUCAUGAGUCACUGUGGUCGGAAAGCCCCACGGUCAGAAAGCAUUUCACAACACUCUAUGAGAUGGAUUUAGAAACAGAUUUUAUUGAUGAAAUGUACUAAGCAAGUGUCUGCAGGAAGAGCAGGAGUCUGUGAUCUUAGCCUCUCAUCGAUCUAAGGAAAGGCAUCUACCUGAAUGUGGAAGGUUUACGUUCUAUCUCCUUGUUGCUUUCCGUAUAGGGAAAGUGAGAGAACAACUCAUCAGUGGGGAUACAAACAUAUGGGGGCACCAGGCAUUAAGUAGUGUUAAAUGUUUCCAGAAUGUCCAGGAAAGCCGGUUUUUCAGCUUUGGAGAUUUGAGACUUGAGGGGGUGGAGAAGAAGGCUCCAGUUCUAUAGAGGAAACUGAGUUGAGUUGGACGAAGUCCAUCCCCCUUAGGAGAAGAGGAAGGCCCUGCUCCCGUGGGCCUGCCCAGGCUGCCUCAAGUGACCUCCCAGAGUCAUUUCUAGAAAAUUUUGCUUGUCACCCACACUACACGAACCUAAACUCUUUUCCCAGCCGGUUGCUUAUAACCCUUCACUUGCUUCACCACUGCCUUCAGGAUAUCGUCCACAGAGUUUGUUUUCCAAGGCGUCAUCCUCUGGCCUAAGCUAACUCUUGAUUCUCUCUUGUGUCACGCUGACAUUUUACCAGAAACUUCAGCUGUAGCGGAUGGAGGGUCUUGCGCGCUCCCGACAUUUCGUACAUCAUCACUUCUCAGCAUCUGGAAGUCUCUGCACCAUGGCUCUUCCCGGAAGGCAUCUUGCUGAUCGCUCUGCCCACUAAAUUUCCUCCUGAUCAAAGCCUGCUUAUCCUUUAAGUUUCAGCUCAACCAUUACUCUCUCUGGGAAGCAGUCCCAGAUCUUUAAUCCCCACACCCAGCAUAAUUAAUCACUGCUGCCUCUGAUCCCCUAGCACUUGGUUCACACUGCUGGCUUCCACUUAUCACCUUGUUAAGCAGCAUAUCCAUGGCCUCGCCUAGAUUAUAAGCUUCCCUAGCAUAGAGAUCUCUUCUUAUUUGUCUUUAUAGAGCAAGCCCUACUGGGCUACUCUCCAUGGGACUGAUCCUGCUGGCCACAUGGUAGGAUUUUGACCUUUAUUCUCAUUAAAGAGCGUGCCUAAGGCCACAGUUGACCAAACGACUGUACAGGAUUCUCCUGGAUGAGAGGAGAAUGUGAAGAUGGACUAGGUAUACAGCUGGUUAAGACGGUGGGAUUCGGACCCAAGCUGGAGAGGGCCUAACGAGUUUGGAAGGGAACAAAAUUAGGGGAAGAAGCAGCUUGAUCUUUUGGAACAGAGUGUCCAGAGGGUCAGUAGGACCAGUUGCUUUGGCGAAUAGCCACUGAUACAGAAAAUGAUCUAGUAUAUACAAGGAAUACUAUAUAUAUAUAUAUUUUUUUAAUCAAAAUUUCCCCCCUUUCAGCCUUUUCUCAGUAUGAUUGCAUUGCCGUUAAUGCUCUUGGUAAAGCGUAAUGCUCAAGACACUGGGAAGCACAUCUAGAGACAGCUGUGUAUAUGGCCAUUCAUUGAUUUGCCUCCACUGGCUCGGGUGUAAGAGGUGGGAUUUCUAUUUGCACAGCCAGUGGUGUCUGGGUUGUUCUUGUCAGAGUCCUAGUGACAGGCACCUUAGAGCACGCAGAGUUAAGGGAAGUAGUCGAUUCUUUCCUUUUCUUUAGGCCAACAAACUUCAGAGAUUUGCCACUCUCCAUCUUGACCUCUGUGGAUUUUUAGAACAACGGGGUCGUGUCCAGAACCGUAAGAACCAGCAAGUCACGCGGCUUUUCUGAAGGUCUAUUCAGCCACCUCAGAAUAUACCUACAGGCACGCUGAUGCCAAAGUACACGGGCCAUUGGGUAUGAGCCUGACGGGAGCAGAGCCCGGGAGGCCUAAUGGGGCCGUUGGCUGGGUGCCAGUCUGCAGGCCCAGUCUGGCCUGCUGGGCAGCUGCACAUGGUCCUGGGACCAGAGCCAGCUGGUGGCUCAUGGCAGUGGUUUCUGGGUCCUGGCACCAUCCCAAGAUCGGCCCCAGCUCCUUAGCCCUGACCUGGCAGUGGCUUUGUUCUGGCUCAAAGCUGAAGUUCAGCCCCCCACGGAGCCACAAGGUGAAGGCAGGCCCUUGAAUCCUAACCCUCUUCCGCCUCUCAGACUGCCACGCACUCUGCUCCAGGGGAGACUUAGGGCCAGUGGAGAGGGCUGGUCCUCUCGAUUCAUCUUAGCUUCAGAACUGUUGUAGAUUUUUCUCACACUGGGGCUGAGCCCUUCAGUGCUGUCUGCAUGUGGGGCCCCAAGUUGGUGUCAACAUCUCCGGGGAUGGAACAGAAGCCUGGCAGGAGAUGCCCUGACCCUGCCUUGUCCAGGAGCACUCUGAGGCAACUCAAGGACUGGAUUUCAAAACUGGCCUUGGAGUCACCAGAAGCAUCACCCCAGAUCGGGGUCUCCUUAACCGGGUAUCAGGAAUACCAUAAAACUCUCAAAAUAACAUGGAUUUUAAUCUCUAUUAGAACAUUUCACACCCAUUUUAAAUACAAACAUCUUUGUAUUUGAAAUACAAAUAUUUGGGUCUUCUGCCAAGUGUGGCUAAAGCAUCUUUAGAACAUUUUGCUAUCUUUAUUGAUUGGAAGGGGCGAUCUAAGUAAAGCAGAGUGCUUGCUAUGCAAAUAAAGCUUCCAGACACAUCUCCUGUCUUCCUCCCCCAGCAGAUUGCCUCUGGAGCCCCUCCCCUGUGGAACUCCGAAAGCUCCUUUAAAAAAAAAAUAUAGUCUUUAUUUGCAUGUCCCCCCCCUCUUGUUGCAGUGUAGUUCUCCCAGAUUGAGAGAAACACAAUGAAGGAAAAAAAAUUUGUUUUCAGCGCUUCCCUUUUCACAAACUCUUUUUUUGGAAACCACAACCUCGGAUCCCGGCCGAGGUUCCCGGGGGCUUCAGGAACAUCAAUCAGUUUCGCAGCUGGAGGCCGAGGCUUUCCUCAGGGAAGACUUUUUACAUAAAACAGAUUGUACUUUGUCCUUGCCAGGGCAGACAAAGGUUUAAAUUAAAUAUGCAGUGAGCUGCUGUUGGCUGCUUGCCACAGCCUGGGGGAGGGGGAAGGGAGAGCUCGUCCCUACUCUCCUUCCUUUCUCUGCAGUUGUUUUUUUUCUCCUGUUUCUGUUUUUCCAGGGGAUUCAGUCCGGAGUUAAAAGACCGGGGCUCUGAGCUGGGCUUUUCUGUGAAUUCGCGGUGUGAUACGGCGCAAGUCACGGGGCCCCCUGGGACCUCAGUUUCCUCUUCUGUACAGUGAGGAGUUUGAGAUGAUGUGUGAAGGUCUUUUCCAUAUUUAACCUAAGAGAGAGCAAGCGAGAGUGAGCACAGGCAGACAGAGUGGAAGGCAGAGUCAGAGGGCGAAGCAGGCUCCCCACGGAGCAAGGAGCCCGAUGCGGGACUCGAUCCCAGGACGCUGGGAUCAUGACCUGAGCCGAAGGCAGCUGCUUAACCAACUGAGCCACCCAGGCGUCCCUUACUGGUUCUUUUUAACGUAGAGUCGGGUUACAGGACGAGCAGAGAGCCAAGCGCUUCACGCGAGCCUGGGAUUCGUGUCUGGGAGGCGAGGAGUACUUCCGAGCACCGUGAAGCAUUUGCACAUAUGUUUUUCUCUUCUGCCUCUGUGAUGGAGACCAGACCCACACUGGGGUGUUCUGGGACCCAAAUCCAGGCUCAUUGUGGAACCUUAUGCUGUGGAGAAUCCUUAGAACCUCUCAAGACUUUCACUGAUCUGCAAUAGCACCAUCACUGAUAAAAGAGAGCAAAAUGGAGUCUCUCACGUCAAGCAGGGGCCUGAGUCAAGCAAUGCAGCAAGCAGUUAAAGGUACCGCAGCUGGGAGAUAUCGCCAGGACCCCCGUCAGCUGACACCCCAGAACUGAAAACGAGCAGAACCAGAGCAGAAAGGCAACUGCUGCUGAAGGCUCUGCCCGAGGGAUCUCCGACCAGAACCGAGAGCCUUGCCUGCUUGAAGGUAAGCAGCCCUAAGUGCCCAGAGCUGCCCCCGGACCCCCGAAGCCUCGCCUCAACCGCGCGCCCCUACACCGACUGCACGUGGGGUUCGUCCACGUCCGGCACCCUUCUGUCGUCUUGUUUGCCGUGUGGCCUGUCUUCCGCCCUGCCCUGCGUGUGUGUGAGAAGCCAAGUUAAUCACAAGGGGGAAUGUCUUGAAGUUUGGAGUCCGGAACCUGCUUCGGGAUUGUGAUUUAACUCGGCUUUCUGACUGAUACAGCUGACCUUGGGAAAGGACGCAGCUUGGCAGCGCGCUCGGGAACGCCUGCGCCCAGCGGCCCUCCCACAGGCCACUGAGGUUUCUCUCAAAGCACCUGGGCCCGUGCGAUUACGUGCACGUAUGCCCUCCCAUAAAUGACUUCACUCUGCCUUUGUUAGGGGCUGUGACUGGUAAGCCUAGUCCUCUCGAGUUACUCUCCCGCGAACUCCCCCAUUUCCGAAGCUCUCGGUUGCUAAUUUGGCGUGAACGCCCCCUACUGGCAAGAUCCCGCCAUUCUCCCCAGUUAUUGCGGCUCUCCCCAUUGUCAAAAUCACACCGAGUUUGCUAAAUACGGAAAAAAUGUUUUCUUUAAUUUGUUAUGCUGUUCGGAUGGCCAGAAGGUGAAAAGGAAGAAUAUUAUUAUACCUACAACCUACAGGAAACCCUCCGUGGAUGAUGACUUCCAGGCUGUGGGUUCAUUCCGUAAUUGCUCCGACUAACAAUGCCCUCGACGGCAGACCAAAUUAAAAUGCAUACCCAGCAGAGCUGUAAUUUUUUAGUUCUGAUUAACCAAUUCUGUCUCCUUGAAUGUAAAUAACCUCUCUUCCUACUUUGAGAUUUUGCUAUUUAGGAUUUACUCAAUACAAAUUUUAAACUAGAUUAAAAAACAUCUUUUCAAAUUUA